GAGGGUAUAGCUCAGUGGUAGAGUGCGUGCUUAGCAUGCAUGAGGUCCCAGGUUCAAUUCUCAGUACCUCCA
rnacentral:tRNA from 1 species